rnacentral:rRNA from 1 species
AUACGUAGGGGGCAAGCGUUAUCCGGAAUUACUGGGCGUAAAGGGUGCGUAGGUGGCCUGACAAGUCAGGGGUCAAAGGCAACGGCUCAACCGUUGUAAGCCCUUGAAACUGUCGGGCUUGAGUUCAGGAGAGGAAAGCGGAAUUCCUAGUGUAGCGGUGAAAUGCGUAGAUAUUAGGAGGAACACCAGUGGCGAAGGCGGCUUUCUGGACUGAUACUGACACUGAGGCACGAAAGCGUGGGGAGCAAACAGGAUUAGAUACCCUGGUAGUCCACGCCGUAAACGAUGAGUACUAGGUGUCGGCCCUAAGGGUCGGUGCCGCAGUUAACACAUUAAGUACUCCGCCUGGGAAGUACGCUCGCAAGAGUGAAACUCAAAUGAAUUGACGGGG